rnacentral:tRNA from 1 species
GGGCCCGUAGCUCAGCGGUUAGAGCAGCGGACUCAUAAUCCGUUGGUCCUAGGUUCAAAUCCUGGUGGGCUCACCC